UCUAUUCAGACAGACAAGCUAUCUCUGCUGGGGAGCACCAUCGACUAUGUGAAGCAGCUAGAGGAGAAGGCGAAGGCCCUGGAUGAGCAAGGCUCACGGAGAUCGUCAGAGUCCAUGGUGUUUGACAGCAAGUGCCACAUAUCCGCUGCCGACAAUGGUGCAGCAGGCCCCAGCGGGAGCGGCUCCGGGUACUCGAGCCCGGACAUCGAGGCCAGCAUCCUGGGGAACACAGCGCUCCUGAGUAUCUGCUGCAGAGGGAGAAAAGGGGUGCUGGUGAUGGUCCUCUCCGAGCUGGAGAACCAGGGCCUCUCAAUCAUAAACACCAACGUCGUACCUUUUACCAACUCCUACCUCAACAUCACCAUCACAGCAAAGGCAAUGGCCCCUCUACCCUCCUAUCCUACAUUGUGCAAAUGCGUUAUAACUUGCGAGAGAACAAACCGCGAUUUGCACUCUAAUGCGGACUACAAACGGAGCAAAAUAAGUGAAUCUACACUCUAA
rnacentral:rRNA from 1 species